rnacentral:snRNA from 1 species
GUGGUGAGCACAAAGCAAACUAUUCUUUCGCCUUUUACUAAAGAAUACCAUAUGAGAUAACACCCUACAAAUUAAUUUUUAAAAUUUGUUAGGUGUCGGGGAAGAU